rnacentral:lncRNA from 1 species
AAUAGAGCUUAGCCAAGUUAGUAGAAACGAGGGAUGAAGGGGAAGUCACUGAGAAAGUCCAUUCUCUCUCCUCACAUCCAGGGAUGAAAGGAACACCAAGG